CGGCCACCGGACCGCCCCAAAUACACCCACACUUAUAUUAUUUAUUCCUUUGUUACACAGUUUUAAUAAUAAUUGAUAACAUAUUAAUGGUGGUGGAAUUGGUGGCAGUAAAAUUAUUAUGGUAAUUAAAACCUAGUACACAGUUGGAAGACAGUAGAGAUGCAUGAGGAUCAACAAUCCAACUAAGUUGAAAUGAGCACCAUUCUUCAAUUAGCAAUAGACGAUGACGACAUGGAAUAAUGUCCUUAUACACGAAUCGCCAGGAACACAUCCUUUUCAGAAAGGAAAAGAAGUAAAAAAUGAGAAUACGAUUUUAUCCAGUCUGCCUUACACAAUGCUCAUCGUUUCCUACGGCUAGAAGGAGAUGUGUAUCGAACUCCGGUAGCCGGAAAAUUGUCUGUGUCUCACUCAACAUCGGACGGCAAGUCGAGGGAAUCAGUUUCAUCAUAAUGUUUUAAUAAAUACAAAUUUAACAGCACAGGUACCUUAAACACAAAACUCAGAAAUCGAACUGCUUCCACAAUUUUUUUUUGCUUUCUCCGUAUACGAUGGAUCGCGACAACCAUAACCUUUUUUCCGGGGGCCCACACAGGAAAAUGAGGAAACUGGGACGAAAUUUAUUAAAGCUAUUUUACCGAUGUCGAACAUAAGGGAAAGUUUACCAUCGAUUUAAUGUUGUACAGUAUCAACGCUUUUACUAACCGCGUAUUGUGUAUCCAAUUUAAUUAUAUUUCCAUGUAUACCACGUCUUUUAUCGAUCCUCUGGAAGCACACGAGCUCAAUCAGGACGCUUUUCUAUCACGGAAGAAGGAAAGCACAUCAUCAACUAUUAGUAUGAGCUUCUAGCAUUUCAAUCCAUAACGACUAAUAUGACCCGGUAGCAACAAUAUUCAAAUGACAGCAAUAUGCAACCCAGUACCGUACGCUACACAAAUCACUGAAUAAGUCAUCAGUUGGCUGAUGAAUUCUGAGAAACGUUUUAACCCUAACCCAACAAAAACUGCAACCUUCUCCUGUAGUUUAAAAUAUCAACAAUCAGUUGUCUAUGGUGCAUACAGCGGAAAACUUAAACUUAGUUGUAACUCGUUUCGAAGAAAAUAGUGCACCAAACAUCAUCGUAUCUAGCCAUGUGAUUGAAUUUCUUGGAAUGUAAAAUAUUCUUCUUUUACAUGUAAUGCAGUUGCGAUUUGCGCAAUAUUAUAUUUGUCUUCACACGGCAGGACCGGGGUUCAAAUCCCAUUCGCACCGCCUCCCCGUACGCAGGGCUGACUACUUUUCUACGGGUAAAUUCAAGUCACAGAAAGUCAGAAUGGCAAGCCCAGAUCCAGAAGGUUGUAGUGCCAUCGAAGAAGAAGAAGAAAUAUAUUUGCUCCUUCUUGCACUCGCAUUAGCCGUGACCUGGAGAACUGGAUGGAAUGGUGCCAGCUCGUACCUAUCAUCAUCUGGAUGAGAGUGUAAGAUGUCUAUUGACAAGUGCACAUUAUAUAGAACAAAGGCUCUCACCUAUCAUGCAAAUGAUAGUGUGAGAAGCCGAUCGAUGAAUGCAUAUGGUCUCCAGGUCACGGCCGAUGCGCUUCCGCCUGCCGUUACGUUAGCUAACCACAGCAAGAUACUCGGCCCAACGAACGGGGAACGAUCUGUACAGAAUUCGUAACCGUUCCUGUCAUCGUCUUAAAGACCAGCGCCACCGUAACCAGCUAUACUAAUUGGAUGCAAAAAUAAUAAUCUGGAAUAUUUUAAAUUUAGACUAUAUUUUUAUUACUGUAAUUUAAAAACAGCUACAAAAGCUUUAAAAAACAAAAUAAUCCUUCAAAGCGUUUGCUUCUAGCCAUGAUUCAAUAAUUAUCCACAUUGCAAUUGCAUUUUAUGUAACAGACGAUUAUUAAGCAUUAUUUCACAAUCAUGGUGAAAUGAAAUGGUUAGAGGCGAUGAAAAUUAACGUACUAUUUCCUACAAAUCGAGUUUCAGUUAAGUGUCUUUUUCCCCUUCCAUGCUACUUGUGCAUCUGAUUAUUGGUUUUUUAGACUAUGCAAAACAUUAGAACGUUGCUGUUUUUGUUCGGUUAGGGCUAAGACGUUUCUAAUCAUUCAUCAGCUAACUGAAAACUUAUUGUGUGAUAAGCGUAGCUUACGGCACCGUGUUGCGGAAGCUAUCGUUUGAAUUUUGCGUUUUCUGGGUUUUGUUGGCUCAUUCUUCGGGAGUUUUUGUGCAAAGCAUCAUCAUCACUUACUAAAUACGUCCUUUUCUCUUUUUAACUAUACUUCCAUGCACCCAUCGAGUUUCUUGCGUUUUGGAGCACAUGUGGACACAAACCAUCACAAGCGGCAAACAAAGGUAUACCCAAAAAUCCUACCAACUAUAACUGCCAUCUCAAACCCCACUACUUCCUUCCCUUUUUUUUUCUUAUUUUUUUACAUGAAAUGCUCUCAACUAUCAUUUCUUGGGCUCACUGCGAUGGCAAUGCGUGAGGGCAAGCCUGGAUUAAGUCAACUCGAGGAGGAGUUUACUGGGCAAACAAUCCAUCGUAACUCUUGUAUCGAGUGAUUGUGAUCGAUGAAUCCCACAUUUAUCGUGGAUGGUUGGUUGAUCCAGGUUGUAUUAUGAAGAUAUCCCUCCUAUCCCUAGCUAUCCUCGCUCGUUUUUAUGGACACUCGAAUAAUCUUUCAGGAGAAUAUGCAUUUGAGUUAUCAUCAACAAAAAUACGGAAUGGACGGGAUGGACGCUUAAGGCAACCAGAAUUAUUUGCAUGUUUAAGCAAAUGGAUGGAUUUGUAACUUAGAACUUAGCUUCCAGGAAAAGAAGUUCUUCUACACUUUCCACAGAGCGGAAUCGUCCCGGUUUGUUAGGCUGGCUAGUGUUAGCUAGUGGUUGCUUCUUGCCCAUGAAUUCUUCCAGCAAUCCGGCUAUAUAUUCUACUCUGCCACUGAGCUGCCGAAUUUCCUGUGUAAUUAUGUCCUGCCGGACCUGGACGUUCGCAAGCAUUCGACGCAUGGAUUGGAAUUCCUGCGCCGAACCCGUCGCGGAUGAUGAUACCGGCAUAUUGUUGUUGCAGUCGGAAUUUUGCUUUGAAUCCAUCUAAAAUUGAAAAAAGCGUUGUUAGGGACAUUUUAACUUUCCACUGUGUUAUUUAAAACAGUUUUUUCUUACCUUUUUGCGAAAAUAAUCUAAACACUCGUCACAAGACUAUCCUGAACCAGAACUAAAGCAAAAUGAAAUGUUCACCAUUCUUCGAAUUUGAAUUUUGAAAGAAGAAUAAAUGUAUGUGAAAGCAAAACAAUAUCACAACGGCA